rnacentral:rRNA from 1 species
AAUUUUAAAAUUAUUUUAUAAUUGAUUUUUAUAAUUUUUAUUUAAUAAAAAUAAUUUAAUUUUAUAAGAUUUUUAUGUAAUUUUUAAUGAUAAAAUAUUAUAAAUUAUAGUAAAUUUGUAUUGUUAAAGAAAUUUGAAAAAAUAUGAAAAUUAAUUUUUUUAAAAAGUAAAUUUUAUUUAUUGUACCUUGUGUAUCAGGGAUUAUUAAAUAAAAAAUAAUAAUUUUAUUUUUCUCGAAUUUAAAAGAUCUAUUUAAUUUAAUAUUAUUUUUAAUAUUUAAUAAUUAUAUUUAAUAUUUAAAUAGAAAUGAAAUGUUUUCGUUUUUAAAGAUAUCUAGUUUUUUAAUAAAUAAAUUUAAUUUAAAUAUUAAUAUAUUAUAAUAUUUUUUUUAUAAAGAUAUUAUAUUUUAAUAUAAAUGUUUUAAGGGAUAAUCUUUAAAUCAUAAAUUUUAUAAUAUAAUAUAUAUAUAUAUAUAUAUAUUAAAUAAUAAAUAUAUUUUAAGCUUAGAAUUUGCUAUAAUUUAAAAAAUGUUAUAAUUUUAUAAGAUUUAAUUAUUUAUUAAAAUUUUAUUAUAUUUAAUUAUUUAUUAAAAUAAAUUAAUGAAUUUAAUUUUAAUUGAAAUUAUGAUUAUAUUAGUAAAUAUAAUUAUUUUAUUUAAUAAAAUAAAUAUAAGGUAAUUUUAAGUAAUUCAGCAAAAUUUAUAUUCGCCUGUUUAACAAAAACAUGUCUUUUUGAUUAUAAUUUUAAGUCUAUUCUGCUCAAUGAAUUAAAUUUUAAAUAGCUGCAGUAUUUUAACUGUACAAAGGUAGCAUAAUAAUUUGUCUUUUAAUUUAGGACUGGUAUGAAUGAUUUGACGAAAUAUAAACUGUCUCAAAAUUAUUAAAUUUGAAUUUAAUUUUUAAGUUAAAAAGCUUAAAUAUUUUUAAAGGACGAUAAGACCCUAUAGAGUUUUAUAUUUUUAUUUAAUGAAUAUAAAAAUUUUUAUAUUCAUUAAAUAAAAAUAUUUUAUUGGGGUGAUAUAAAAAUUUAAAGAACUUUUUAAAAAAUUAAACAUAAAUUAAUGAAUUUAUUGAUCCUAUUUUUUAGAUUAAAAGAAUAAAUUACCUUAGGGAUAACAGCGUAAUUUUUUUUUAAGUUCUUAUUAACAUUAAAGAUUGCGACCUCGAUGUUGGAUUAAAAAAAAAUUUAGGUGAAGAAGCUUAAAUUUUAAGUCUGUUCGACUUUUAAAUUUUUACAUGAUCUGAGUUCAAACCGGUGUAAGCCAGGUUGGUUUCUAUCCUUAAUAUUAAAUAAAAUAUUUAGUACGAAAGGACCAAUAUUUUAAAUCAUAGAUUUUAUGUUAUGAAUUUUAUUAAAUAUUUUAAAUAUAA